rnacentral:rRNA from 1 species
AGUCGAGCGGUAAGGCCUUUCGGGGUACACGAGCGGCGAACGGGUGAGUAACACGUGGGUGAUCUGCCCUGCACUUCGGGAUAAGCCUGGGAAACUGGGUCUAAUACCGGAUAUGACUCUCCAGUGUGCCAAGACGUGGGGUGGAAAGACUUAUCGGUGCAAGAUGGGCCCGCGGCCUAUCAGCUUGUUGGUGGGGUAAUGGCCUAACAAGGCGACGAUCGGGUAGCCGACCUGAGAGGGUGACCGGCCACACUGGGACUGAAACACGGCCCAAACUCCUACGGGAGGCAGCAGUGGGGAAUAUUGCAUCAAUCGGCGAAAGCCUGAUGCAGCGACGCCGCGUGAGGGAUGACGACCUUCGGGUUGUAAACCUCUUUCAGCAGGGACGAAGCGCAAGUGACGGUACCUGCAGAAGAAGCACCGACUAACUACGUGCCAGCAGCCGCGGUAAUACGUAGGGUGCAAGCGUUGUCCGGAAUUACUGGGCGUAAAGAGUUCGUAGGCGGUUUGUCGCGUCGUUUGUGAAAACCAGCAGCUCAACUGCUGGCUUGCAGGCGAUACGGGCAGACUUGAGUACUGCAGGGGAGACUGGAAUUCCUGGUGUAGCGGUGAAAUGCGCAGAUAUCAGGAGGAACACCGGUGGCGAAGGCGGGUCUCUGGGCAGUAACUGACGCUGAGGAACGAAAGCGUGGGUAGCGAACAGGAUUAGAUACCCUGGUAGUCCACGCCGUAAACGGUGGGCGCUAGGUGUGGGUUCCUUCCACGGAAUCCGUGCCGUAGCUAACGCAUUAAGCGCCCCGCCUGGGGAGUACGGCCGCAAGGCUAAAACUCAAAGGAAUUGACGGGGGCCCGCACAAGCGGCGGAGCAUGUGGAUUAAUUCGAUGCACAAAGAAGAACCACACCCGGAUCUGACAUAUACCGGAAACCUGCAGAGACGUGCCCCCCCUCGUGGUCGGCAUACAGGUGGUGCAAGGCUGUCGUCAGCUCGUGUCACCCGUGAGAUGUUGGAGCUAAGUCCCGCAACGUAAGCCCAACCCGCCAUCCUACCUUGACGCAGCAACUUAUGGUCCGGAAUCGUAACAGACUGCCGCGGUCAACUAGCAGGAAGGCCGGGACGUAAGCCAAGUCAUCAUGCACCUAAUGGUCCAGGCGUUCAACACGCCCUACAAUGGCCCAGUUACAGACGAAGGCUUGACCAGAUCCGUGGAGGUGAAGCCACCCAUAGACCCUCAUCACGUCCGAUCGGAGUCUGCACCUGGACCCAGUGAAAGUCGGAAGUCGAUAGUAUAUCGCACGAAUCAGAAUACCGUUGCGGUUAAUACGUUCCCGGGCCUUGCACACACCUCCCGUCGGGUCAUGAAAGUCGGUAACACCUCAAGCCGGUGGGUUAACCCCGCGUGGGAGGGAGCCUUCCAAGGU